rnacentral:rRNA from 1 species
UGGGGGAUAUUGCACAAUGGGCGAAAGCCUGAUGCAGCGACGCCGCGUGGGGGAUGAAGGCCUUCGGGUUGUAAACUUCUUUUGCUCUGAACAAGGCGCACCAUGGGGUGUGUUGAGUGUAGGGGUUGAUUAGCGCCGGCUAACUACGUGCCAGCAGCCGCGGUAAUACGUAGGGCGCGAGCGUUGUCCGGAAUUAUUGGGCGUAAAGGGCUUGUAGGUGGCUGGUUGCGUCUGUCGUGAAAGCUCAUGGCUUAACUGUGGGUUUGCGGUGGGUACGGGCUGGCUUGAGUGCAGUAGGGGAGGAUGGAAUUCCUGGUGUAGCGGUGGAAUGCGCAGAUAUCAGGAGGAAUACCGGGGGCGAAGGCGGGUCUCUGGGCUGUUACUGACACUGAGGAGCGAAAGCAUGGGGAGCGAACAGG